GUUGCCGUGGCCGAGUGGUUAAGGCGAUAGACUUGAAAUCUUUUGGGAUUUUCCCGCGCAGGUUCGAAUCCUGCCGACAACG
rnacentral:tRNA from 1 species